GAACUAUUUUUCUUAGCUCAGUGAUAGAGCAUCUGCCUUGUAUGUAGAAGAUCCCAGGUUUGAACUCCAAUGGCAUCUCCA